rnacentral:rRNA from 1 species
AGAAUAUUGGUCAAUAGCCUAACGGCUGAACCAGCAACUUGGAUGAAUGAAAGGCGAAAGCCACUGUAAUAUAAAAUAUUGCAGCAGUAACUCCGUUACAUUAAGUUCUAGGUAAAUAUUUGAUAAUGACAUUAUUUAUCUAUAAGUCUUGACCAAGUCUCGUGCCAGCAGUCGCGGUAACACGGGGAAGACGAGUGUUAUUCAUGUUUAUUUGGUUUAAAGGGUACCUAGACAGUUAAUCAAGCCUACAUAAGGGACUAAUUAUACUAGAGUUUUAUGGGAUAAGGAUAGAACGGUGAGUGGAGAGAUGAAAUUCUUUGAUACACCUUAGAUACUGACAGCGGCGAAAGCAACCUUAUAUAUAAUAACUGACGUUGAGGGACGAAGGCUUUAUGUAAUUAACAGGAUUAGAUACCCUAGUAGUCGAAGCAGACAAUGAUGAGUGUCAUAUGUAAGUAUUAAUUUAAUUUACGUAUAAAUGAAAGUGUAAGCACUCCACCUUAAGAGUAAUAUGGCAACAUAGGAACUGAAAUCAUUAGACCGUUUCUGAAACCAGUAGUGAAGUAUGUUGUUUAAUUUGAUGAUCCGCAAAGAACCUUACCACAAUUGGAAUAUAGAAAGUACAGGAGUUGCACGGCUGUCUUCAGUUGAUAUCGUGAGAUUUUGGUUAACUCCAUUUAAUCAACGUAAACCCUUACUUUAUUUUUUACAUAAAGUAGUUCACCGUUAUAUCGGCUAUGAUAAUAGGGACUAAGACAAGUCACCAUGACCCAAAUAUUGUGGGC